AUUGAACGCUGGCGGCAUGCCUUACACAUGCAAGUCGAACGGUAACAGGUCUUCGGAUGCUGACGAGUGGCGCACGGGUGAGUAAUACACCGGAACGUGCCCAGACGUGGGGGAUAACGAGGCGAAAGCUUUGCUAAUACCGCAUACGAUCUAAGGAUGAAAGAAGGGGACCGCAAGGCCUUGCGCGCUUGGAGCGGCCGAUGGCAGAUUAGGUAGCUGUUGGGAUAAAAGCUUACCAAGCCGACGAUCUGUAGCUGGUCUGAGAGGACGACCAGCCACACUGGGACUGAGACACGGCCCAGACUCCUACGGGAGGCAGCAGUGGGGAAUUUUGGACAAUGGGCGAAAGCCUGAUCCAGCAAUGCCGCGUGCAGGAUGAAGGCCUUCGGGUUGUAAACUGCUUUUGUACGGAACGAAAAGGCUCUGGCUAAUACCUGGGGCACAUGACGGUACCGUAAGAAUAAGCACCGGCUAACUACGUG
rnacentral:rRNA from 1 species